rnacentral:rRNA from 1 species
GGAUGUCGGCCUAUGGGUUGUAAACCUCUUUUUUCAGGGAGGAACAAAAUGACGUGUACCUGAAGAAUAAGCAUCGGCUAACUCCGUGCCAGCAGCCGCGGUAAGACUGAGGAUGCAAGUGUUAUCCGGAAUCACUGGGCGUAAAGCGUCUGUAGGUGGUUUUACAAGUCUGCUGUUAAAGCGUGCAGCUUAACUGCAUAUAGGCGGUGGAAACUGUAAGACUAGAGUGUAGUAGGGGUAGAGGGAAUUCCCAGUGUAGCGGUGAAAUGCGUAGAUAUUGGGAAGAACACCGGUGGCGAAAGCGCUCUACUGGGCUACAACUGACGCUGAUGGACGAAAGCUAGGGGAGCGAAAGGGAUUAGAUACCCCUGUA